CCUGCCCAUUGAAUUUUUAAAAGGCCGCGGUAUUCUGACUGUGCAAAGGUAGCAUAAUAAUUAGCUUUUUAAUUGGAAGCUUGUAUGAAUGGUUGGACAAAGAAAUAACUGUCUUUAAUUUAUUAUUUGAACUUUACAUUUAAGUGAAAAGGCUUAAAUUAAUUUAAGGGACGAUAAGACCCUAUAAAGCUUUACAUUUUAUUUGUCUUUUUUGUUUAGAUGUAAUUAAAUUAAAAUACAAAAUAAUAUGUUGGAUUGGGGUGAUAAAGAUAUAAUAGAAAAACUGUCUUUUAAGAUAAAACAAAUAUAAUUGACUUUAGUUAAGGAUCCUUUAUAAAGAUUAAAAGUUCAAGUUACUUUAGGGAUAACAGCGUUAUUUUUUUUGAGAGUUCAUAUCGAAAAAAAAGUUUGCGACCUCGAUGUUGAAUUAAAAUUUUCCUUGUGGUGGAGAAGUUACAAGGGAAAGUCUGUUCGAC
rnacentral:rRNA from 1 species